UCACAGACUCAACCCCUAGGAUCCCACUCACCUCUCCCUGGCUGACCUGCUUCAUCUUCAUAAUCCCAUCAGUUUCUCUGAAAAUGGCAGAAGGUGCUUAAGUUGUGAAGGACCAGUGUGUGGUCAAACACUAAACUGUGAGAAGAAUGAAGACUACUGCAUCAAAUCGACAAUGACAAAAGCCGGACAGAAGCUGACCAUGAAGGGCUGCGCCUCCAAGCUGAUGUGCCUCGGUGAAUCCGUUGCAGCCAUAAAACAAUUAACCGGAGCAGAAAUCAGCUGCUGUCAAGGCGACUGCUGCAACAACAGUUUAGUGCUGAACUGCUGCUGCUGCUGGGGCCUCUUUGAUUUCACUUUAAAAGCAGAUGCAAACAGUAGCAUCGUUUAUGACUUUUUAGAUUUUUAGAAAGUUAAAAUUUACCUAAGAUUUUUAAAACAGCCUAAUUUAGCUUUUGAUUUUUUUUAUAGAUAAAACAAUUUAAUUCUGUAUCACUCAUAGUAAUUAUAUCUUCUUAACAUUUUGAUAAAGAUGACAGAAACCAAUUAGUUUUCAUGUAAACUUAGCACAAAAAGAAAAUUUGUGUUUAGUUGCGUAUUUCUGUAUUUAAAUAUACUUUUGGGCAAUAAAUCAGCAACCAAGAAUCAAACUACCAAAUAUAAAGCCUGUUCAUUUCUCCUCGCUGCCAUAUUAGUUAGGAAAUACAUGUGUUGAGCAGCAGAAUUUGUGUGUGGCACCUUUGAAAACAUGCCACAUUUUCUCUGCCAAAGCAAAUCCAUGCUGAGAACAACUGAGUAAAGUACAAAUGAUAAAAGUAUUUUUAAACCAGUCAACUUCUUGCAAAGAGUGACAGCUUAGCGAAGGAAGGAUGAAGGCGUGGUCUGAUUCUGAAGGACACGCCCACUUCAGGAAAGCCAUAAAAAUGAUCCAAGUAGGGGUCUGUGCAGUGCAGUGUUGUCCUGCCCUUCUCAACUUAUCAGAACAGAAAGUAAAACUUACACGUCCUGCAAACAAAAAUGCUCUUUUUUACUCUGAUUUUUGUGAUUUUGCUUUCUUCCAAAAGUUAAGUUUUUAUUCUGCAGUUUUCUUUUUUGUUUUCUUAUCUUCAUUUCAUUUAAAUGUGCUUUUUUUCCCCAAGAGCUGUAAUAAAACCUUUGGAAAAAUUAGA